GAUGAACGCUGGCGGCGUGCCUAAUACAUGCAAGUCGAGCGAACGGACGAGAAGCUUGCUUCUCUGAUGUUAGCGGCGGACGGGUGAGUAACACGUGGAUAACCUACCUAUAAGACUGGGAUAACUUCGGGAAACCGGAGCUAAUACCGGAUAAUAUUUUGAACCGCAUGGUUCAAAAGUGAAAGACGGUCUUGCUGUCACUUAUAGAUGGAUCCGCGCUACAUUAGCUAGUUGGUAAGGUAACGGCUUACCAAGGCAACGAUGCAUAGCCGACCUGAGAGGGUGAUCGGCCACACUGGAACUGAGACACGGUCCAGACUCCUACGGGAGGCAGCAGUAGGGAAUCUUCCGCAAUGGGCGAAAGCCUGACGGAGCAACGCCGCGUGAGUGAUGAAGGUCUUCGGAUCGUAAAACUCUGUUAUUAGGGAAGAACAUAUGUGUAAGUAACUGUGCACAUCUUGACGGUACCUAAUCAGAAAGCCACGGCUAACUACGUGCCAGCAGCCGCGGUAAUACGUANGUGGGCAGCGUUAUCCNGAAUUUAUGGGCGUAAAGCGCGCGUAGGCGGUUUUUUAGUCUGAUGUGAAAGCCCACGGCUCAACCGUGGAGGGUCAUUGGAAACUGGAAAACUUGAGUGCAGAAGAGGAAAGUGGAAUUCCAUGUGUAGCGGUGAAAUGCGCAGAGAUAUGGAGGAACACCAGUGGCGAAGGCGACUUUCUGGUCUGUAACUGACGCUGAUGUGCGAAAGCGUGGGGAUCAAACAGGAUUAGAUACCCUGGUAGUCCACGCCGUAAACGAUGAGUGCUAAGUGUUAGGGGGUUUCCGCCCCUUAGUGCUGCAGCUAACGCAUUAAGCACUCCGCCUGGGGAGUACGACCGCAAGGUUGAAACUCAAAGGAAUUGACGGGGACCCGCACAAGCGGUGGAGCAUGUGGUUUAAUUCGAAGCAACGCGAAGAACCUUACCAAAUCUUGACAUCCUUUGACAACUCUAGAGAUAGAGCCUUCCCCUUCGGGGGACAAAGUGACAGGUGGUGCAUGGUUGUCGUCAGCUCGUGUCGUGAGAUGUUGGGUUAAGUCCCGCAACGAGCGCAACCCUUAAGCUUAGUUGCCAUCAUUAAGUUGGGCACUCUAAGUUGACUGCCGGUGACAAACCGGAGGAAGGUGGGGAUGACGUCAAGUCAUCAUGCCCCUUAUGAUUUGGGCUACACACGUGCUACAAUGGACAAUACAAAGGGCAGCGAAACCGCGAGGUCAAGCAAAUCCCAUAAAGUUGUUCUCAGUUCGGAUUGUAGUCUGCAACUCGACUACAUGAAGCUGGAAUCGCUAGUAAUCGUAGAUCAGCAUGCUACGGUGAAUACGUUCCCGGGUCU
rnacentral:rRNA from 1 species